AUGGCAAUCACAUGACUGUAGGAUGCUACAACUGUGCAGGAUUUACCUACUGAAGCAACUAGGGCUGCUAGUUAGUGUGGCCAUCUGACAUUGCGCUUUAUGACUGUUGCGUUUAGUAAAGAAGUUGCCACUCAUAAUUACCAUGGUUAAAUGAAGCCUUCCUGUUCUUGUACAUGUAAAAUUUCCAUUACCAAUGUAUCUGGAGAAUGUCCUUAGGGAUAGUGGGGUUUAAUUGUUCUUUUCUCAUACUAAAACAGAUUUAUUAAUGGAAAUGUUACACAGGAGAAAGGAAAAAAAAAUCUGUACGGUGAUGGUGUAUUUUGAUGAGGAGGUAAUAGGAAACAGUGUUCAUUCAAAAAUUUAAAAGAUUUAGGGACCACAAAUAUGACAGAAAUUAAUUUGUAGAUGAAUUAAAAUAUAAAGUUAUUCACACAAUUUACUGGAAUGUAUUCUCUUAUCAUCUUACUAUGAUCAUCAAUAUAAAUAACUUAAAAAAAAAAUACAGUCUAUCAUUAGUGUAAUGGUACCCUGAGGCAUUUGAGGGUAAAACUUAAAAGCAGUUUAAGUUAUAACUUAAAUACAUGGAAAUUGUGCCAAUCAAUAGCUGCUCUGGAGUCUAAUCAUGUGACAUCCAAACAUGAUUAGAGAAUCAUAGGCUUGGAUGAACCAUCUCAUGUAGUGUUGAUUUCCACCUUCAUUUGUGUGAUAGAUGUAAUAUGCAAAUUGGCCUGUUGGCAUUUGGCUAGCCAUUGUUACCAACAGAUGCCAAUUCAAACUACUGCAAUUCUUGUGUAGGUUUUGAGUCACUGCAUUACUAAUCUAGCACAUUGUAUCUGGCAGAUGGGAAUGAAUAUAACCAGGAAGUCCCAGUCAUUUUAAAGCAUCAUUCAAGAGUGACUGUGUGAGACAGAAUAGAACAAAGUAGAGCAAAAAGCAUUCAUUCUCUGUGAAAGUAGGCUGUAUCAAUCAGGGCUGGAAAUGUGUAGUUUCCACUUUGUGAGAAGUUUAAUUAAAAAUUGACUACUGCUGAGCUUUAUAAUCUGAAAUACCAAGAGUCUGCAUUAAUGUUAUGAUCGAAAAGUAUCCCCACUCAAGAACUUCUGCUGUCAUGAACAAUUAAUGUCCUAGCAGCUUUGGAGUUGACAUAUUGGAGUCUCUCCCCAAAGAUCUUACUAAUAGAAUAAGACAUUAAACCAUUUCAUUGCAGUAUUGUCAUUAUUCUACUCUUUUUCAAGAAAAAAACAGUAAACAUAAGCCAUGCCCAUAAGCCAUGCUUUCAACCCUGUUUUGCUGAAACUGUUCCAUCCACUCAUCUACAGCACAAUGAAAGAAAAAAGAAUGGAGAAAUCCAAAAGAAAAAUAAAUUGCUUUUAAUAAGUGUGGUCCACCCAAGUUUUAGAAGCUGUCCUUCAUAUAUCAUUCUCCCUCUCUCCCUCCCUCACACCCCUCUCUCUCACACACACACAUUUGCAACCAAAAUUUCAAUUACUAAGCAAGACAGUUGUUAUGUGAGUUUUGCCCUAGUUUACAACUUUUCUCACCAUAGCUGUUAAGUGAAUCACUGCAGUUGUUAAGUGAGUCUGGCUUCCCCAUUGACUUUGCUUGUCAGAAAGUGGCAAAAGGUGAUCACAUGACCCCCGAGACACUGCAACCAUCACAAAUAGAUGUCAGUUGCCAAAUGUCUGAAUUUUGAUCAUGUGACUAUGGGAUGUUGCAACAGUUGGUAAGUGUGAAAGAGGUCAUAAGCCAUGUUUUUUCAGUGCUAUUGUAACUUCAAAGUAAAUGAAUGGUUAUGUUGUGGCCCGCCAGUGGCCUGCGCAGAUUGUUGCUGAUCCCGACGAAGAGGAGGCUGGUGUGUUGUGCCAGCAGCCUGUGCAUCCGGCACUCGAGUCGGACAGUGAGGAGGCUGAAGAAGAUGUAGUGCCAGAGGCAGGGAUUCAACCAGGGCCUUCAGAACCUCCAGAGGCUCCUUUAAGUGAAGAGGAUGAAGUGGAGGAGCCUCUUCUCAAUGCACGGGCACGCAGAGCUGCCAAAAGGCAGGAGUGGUUACUCAGGAGGAGGUCUCCUCGAGAGUAAGGCUUGGGACUAAUUGGCCACUCCCUUAGCCUAUUUAAGUUUGUACACAGCUUGUAAAAAGCUGCAGGAAACAACGUGUGUUCGUUCGUUCAUUCGCUGAUCAUUGAGUUUGAAUUUUCUCUGUAAACCUGGCUUCUGGGCUUUCUGCCAACUCUAGUAAGACUCUAUCUUAUCUGUGGAAUUUUUGGCAGGUUGUUAAGAAUGUUUUAUUAACAGCCUGCAUUUGCAAAAGACUGUGUUUUGAAGUAAACUGAGUUUUGUUCG